rnacentral:lncRNA from 1 species
GUACUUUAACAAAAAUAAUGAACUGCUAUAUCAUAUCAACAUUUGCCAUACAUAUUUAUAAAAAUAGCAAUAUUUAUUUUAGCAUGAGAUAUUUAUGCAUGUCUGUUUUGCUUGUAUGUCAUAUGUUUGUUGCACUCGCAGCCACUAGAUGGCGCUCUGACACUAGUUAAAUGCCAGGUGUAGUUAAUGAGGCAUUAGAUACAGGCGCAAUCGGAGAAAAGGUCCUUCAGGAAUCGGAUAAAGUGAGGAAGAGGAGGAUGAAGAGGAUCGCAGAACGAUCAUCUGCUUCUUUGGACACAUUGGUUGAUUAUCCCUGAUUCUCAGAGGUAUGUCGGGGUGAGCUGGUCAAGUGGACUGUUAUCUCGCAUGGCCCUGUACAAACCCGUAUGACCGUCUGCCUGCACUCUGACCCGGGGGAGCAUGAGGAUAAACAGAUGCGUGAGCCUUCAUCACUCUCCCUCCACCACCACCAUCAUCAUCAUCAUCAUUUACCUUGAAGGGGGUGAGGAGGAGGUGCGCCAGAACACAUCAGACGCUCCUCUGCGGGUGGAAAGGGAGAGAAGAGGUGACUUGCCGAUUUUCUCAGAUCAGCAGCGCUGAUGACUUCUCUCAGGGGGAGCUGACCCAAUUCGCCUGGGUGUUUAUCACCGGCACAACAAGGUCACGGCUGACAAAGCAGCGCUAGUGUGGUCUCUUUAUGCUGUGGGGUGGGAUGGGAAGGCCCAGGGCGGUUGAGGAGCUGUUUAACUGCUCUCUGCGUUCAACUGUUAUUACACAGAUUUUAGAAAAGAACAAGAUGAUUUUUUAAAUAAAAAAAUCUGUUUAAAUCUG